UACGUAGGGGGCAAGCGUUGUCCGGAUUUAUUGGGCGUAAAGAGCGUGUAGGCGGCUAGAUAGGUCCGUUGUGAAAACUCGAGGCUCAACCUCGAGACGCCGAUGGAAACCAUCUGGCUAGAGUCCGGAAGAGGAGAGUGGAAUUCCUGGUGUAGCGGUGAAAUGCGCAGAUAUCAGGAGGAACACCGGUGGCGAAGGCGGAUCUCUGGGCCUUACCUGACGCUGAGGCGCGAAAGCGUGGGGAGCGAACAGG
rnacentral:rRNA from 1 species